CCCUUAGAUGUCCUGGGCUGCACGCGCGCUACACUGAUGUGUCCAGUAAGCACCUAACCUCUUCCGAAAGGAACGGGUAACCUUUGCAAAGCACAUCGUGAUGGGGAUAGAUUAUUGCAAUUAUUAGUCUUGAACGAGGAAUUCCUAGUAAGCACAAGUCAUCAGCUUGUGUUGAUUACGUCCCUGCCCUUUGUACACACCGCCCGUCGCUCCUACCGAUUGAAUGUUCCGGAGAGCUCUUCGGACUGCGCGGUCUGCAGUUUCUGCGUUCCGUGCGGAAAGUUGCGCAAACCUUAACAUUUAGAGGAAGGAGAAGUCGUAACA
rnacentral:rRNA from 1 species